rnacentral:pre_miRNA from 1 species
AAUAGAUGACGCCGUUGAUUUUUUCUUACAUGUUUGACCAUUCGUCUUAUUCAAAAUAUUUACGUAAUUAUAAUUUAUUUUGUUAUGAGUUGUUUUAUUACUCAUAGUAAUAAGUGUUUACAUUUGCAUAAAAUUUUUGAAUAAGACGAAUGGUCAAACAUGUGAGAAAAAGUCAACGGCGUCAUCUAUU